rnacentral:tRNA from 1 species
GGCGGUAUAGCUCAGUGGUAGAGCACAUGCUUAGUAUGCACAAGGUCCUGGGUUCAAUCCCUAGUACCUCCA